AUGGGGGGCCAAUGCUCCAAACUCAUACCAUGCUGCGGGGAUUCACAAUUCAAUGCAGCCGCAGUUCUUGAAGCUCCAACUAUUGAAAAUGUGGAGAAGAGCGAGGUUGACUACUUGCCUAGAUUUUGUGAAUUCACACUUGAGCAACUCAAAAAUGCGACAUCUGGUUUUGCAGUGGAAUACAUUAUAUCUGAACAGGGAGAGAAGGCUCCAAAUGUUGUUUAUAAAGGGAAAUUGGAAAACCAGAUGAGAAUUGCUGUUAAGCGCUUCAAUAAGGUGGCUUGGCCUGAUGCUCGGCAAUUUGUGGAGGAGGCAAGAUUGGUUGGUCAGCUCCGCAACCAUAGAUUGGUUAAUUUGCUUGGCUGCUGCGGCCAAGGUGAUGAGAGGUUGCUUGUGGCAGAAUAUAUGCCCAAUGACACACUUGCAAAACACCUUUUCCAUUGGGAUGCACAGCCUAUGAAAUGGACAAUGCGAUUAAGGGUUGUUUUACAUCUUGCGCAAGCCCUAGAAUACUGCACAAGCAAGGGGCGUGCCCUUUAUCAUGACCUUAAUGCUUACAGAGUUUUAUUUGAUGAGAAUAGUAAUCCUAGAUUAUCUACAUUUGGUUUGAUGAAAAAUAGUAGGGACGGGAAGAGUUAUAGUACAAAUCUGGCAUUUACUCCUCCUGAAUAUCUUAGAACUGGGAGAGUGACACCAGACAGUGUGAUUUACAGCUUUGGGACUCUUUUACUCGAUCUUCUCAGUGGAAAGCAUAUUCCCCCUAGUCAUGCCCUAGACCUAAUUAGGGACAGAAAUCUUCAGAUGCUGACAGAUUCGUGCUUGGAAGGACAGCUGUCUCAAGAUGAUGGUACUGAAUUGGUACGCUUGGCUUCGCGAUGUUUACAAUCUGAACCUCGAGAGCGACCAAAUCCAAAGUCAUUAGUAGCUGCAUUGACUACUCUUCAGAAAGAAACUGAGAUUCCUUCUCAUGUUUUGAUGGGUAUCCCGCACACUAACUCCUGCUCUCCUCUUUCACCACUUGGUGAAGCCUGCUCCAGAAGGGAUUUGACUGCAGUCCAUGAGAUCCUAGAGAAUAUCGGCUACAAAGAUGAUGGAAUGACAAAUGAGCUCUCGUUCCAAAUGUGGACUGACCAAAUGCAGGAAACGUUAGAUUCAAAGAAAAUGGGGAUUCCGCUUUUAAGAAAAAGGACUUCAGAACUGCAAUCGAGUGUUAUUCACAGUUCAUUGAUAUUGGAAACAUGGUUUCUCCCACAAUCUUUGCCCGUCGUAGUUUGUCUUAUCUCAUGGAUGGGAUGCCUCAGGAAGCUCUGAACGAUGCAAUGCAAGCUCAAGUAGUUUCCCCAAUAUGGCACAUUGCAUCUUAUCUACAGGCUGCUGCCCUUUCUGCACUCGGAAUGGAGAUGGAGGCACAAUCAGCACUGAAGGAGGGUACUGUUCUUGAAGCCAAAAGGAACACUGCAGCUGGACACAAGUGAUAAUCAAGGCUCAGGUACCAAACCAGACACCACUCAGUUUUGCUCUCAAUAGAUAUAGGUGUUAACAGAAAGUCCCAAACAGGGGAAGUCAAAGCUUCAUUCAUUAUCAAGAUGUUUCAUAGAUGUUGAGCACUUCAAGAAGCAUGUAAUAUAUGUACAAAGACAAUUCUUUUUUUUUUUUUGGUCUGAAGUACAAAGACAAUUCAUGUCUAUUCUUUCUGGUGAAACACAGCUCGAGUUGUGAAAGGAGCUCGAGUGUUGCAGUCCAUAAGUAC